rfam:Schistosoma margrebowiei strain Zambia genome assembly, scaffold: SMRZ_contig0007672
GCACUGCUGAGGAGUCCCGCGAUAGGACGAAACGGCCGUCCAGUGU